UACGAAGGGGGCUAGCGUUGUUCGGAAUUACUGGGCGUAAAGGGCGCGUAGGCGGCGUGUCAAGUCAGGCGUGAAAGCCCCGGGCUCAACCUGGGAACCGCGCUUGAGACUGGCAUGCUCGAGUUCGGGAGAGGAUGGUGGAAUUCCUGGUGUAGCAGUGAAAUGCGUAGAUAUCAGGAGGAACACCGAUGGCGAAGGCAGGUCUCUGGGCUGACACUGACGCUCAUGCACGAAAGCGUGGGGAGCAAACAGG
rnacentral:rRNA from 1 species